ACUACGGGAGGCAGCAGUGGGGAAUAUUGGGCAAUGGGCGCAAGCCUGACCCAGCAACGCCGCGUGAAGGAAGAAGGCUUUCGGGUUGUAAACUUCUUUUGUCAGGGACGAAGCAAGUGACGGUACCUGACGAAUAAGCCACGGCUAACUACGUGCCAGCAGCCGCGGUAAUACGUAGGUGGCAAGCGUUAUCCGGAUUUACUGGGUGUAAAGGGCGUGUAGGCGGGGAAGCAAGUCAGAUGUGAAAACCACGGGCUCAACCUGUGGCCUGCAUUUGAAACUGUUUUUCUUGAGUGCUGGAGAGGCAAUCGGAAUUCCGGGUGUAGCGGUGAAAUGCGUAGAUAUACGGAGGAACACCAGUGGCGAAGGCGGAUUGCUGGACAGUAACUGACGCUGAGGCGCGAAAGCGUGGGGAGCAAACAGGAUUAGAUACCCGUGUAGUC
rnacentral:rRNA from 1 species